AGUCUUAUAGUCAAUAAUGAUUUAAAAUUGCAAAUUUUAAGGGGUAAAUAUAUUACUAAGGCUU
rnacentral:tRNA from 1 species